CUACGGAACUCCUACGGGAGGCAGCAGUGGGGAAUAUUGGACAAUGGGGGCAACCCUGAUGCAGCGACGCCGCGUGAGGGAUGACGGCCUUCGGGUUGUAAACCUCUGUUAGCAGGGAAGAAGAGAGAUUGACGGUACCUGCAGAGAAAGCGCCGGCUAACUACGUGCCAGCAGCCGCGGUAAUACGUAGGGCGCGAGCGUUGUCCGGAAUUAUUGGGCGUAAAGAGCUUGUAGGCGGUUUGUCGCGUCUGCUGUGAAAGGCCGGAGCUUAACUCCGUGUAUUGCAGUGGGUACGGGCAGACUAGAGUGCAGUAGGGGAGACUGGAAUUCCUGUGUAGCGGUGGAAUGCGCAGAUAUCAGGAGGAACACCGAUGGCGAAGGCAGGUCUCUGGGCUGUAACUGACGCUGAGAAGCGAAAGCAUGGGGAGCGAACAGGAUUAGAUACCCCAGUAGUCCUCUUCGA
rnacentral:rRNA from 1 species